AUUGAACGCUGGCGGCAGGCCUAACACAUGCAAGUCGAGCGAGCGGCGGACGGGUGAGUAAUGCUUGUGAAUUGCCCAGUCGAGGGGGAUAACAGUUGGAAACGACUGCUAAUACCGCAUACGAUUGGAUUGCCCAUGUGGGAUUAGCUAGUUGGUGAGGUAAUUGGUCACCAAGGCGACGACCCCUAGCUGGUCUGAGAGGAUGAUCGGCCACAAUGGAAGUGAGACACGGGCCAGAAUCCUACGGAAGGCAGCAGUGGGGAAUAAUGCACAAUGGGGGAGACUCUGAGGCGGCCAUGCCGAGUGUGGGAAGAAGGCCUUCGGGUUGUAAAGCACUUUCAGCGAGGAGGCGUUACGCGCAGGAGGGGCACCGGCUAACUCCGUGCCAGCAGCCGCGGUAAUAC
rnacentral:rRNA from 1 species